GGUGGCUUUAUAAGAGGAGGAAGAGAGACCUGAGCUAGCAUGCUCAGCCCCCUCACCCCCUGUGCUACCUUGGGACUCUGCAGAGUCCUCGACAGUAAGAAGGCUCUCACCUGUUAUGCCCCUGGACCUUGGACUUCUCAGCCUCCAUAACUGGUGCCUGUGCAGCAGUAUUCACUGUGAUAGGAAGUGAGAAGCAGUCUGAGUGUUCAUUGCUGAGGGAAUCAAGGGCAAAAUAUCAUGGAUGCACUCAUGGACAAAUAAGCAGCAGUUUGAAGCAACAACCUAGAUGGAUGUACAGCCAUCAAGAGGAUCUUAAAGUGUGGUCUUUAGUGGAAAAAAAGGUUACAUUUGAACAUAUUUAUCUGCUAAAGCAAAAUAAUUCCCAUCAUUCUAUAGCAGAAGCAAUGUAUGGGAGACUGAGUAAUUACAUAUAAGCUCACAUCACUAUCUCUUCCACCACUGUCAUCCAUCAUGACUGAUCUGGGAGAUGAAACAGCACAGAUCUAAAGGACGUGGUAAGAAUCGAGAUCACCAGAGAUCAGUAGAUACUUGCAUACUUGCAGGAUUAACACUGUCUGGAUUCCAACGAUCAGCUGAGUAUGUUCAAGAUAAAGCUAUAGUACAUAUUUU
ensembl:lncRNA novel transcript, antisense to PGM5